rnacentral:rRNA from 1 species
GACGAACGCUGGCGGCGUGCUUAACACAUGCAAGUCGAACGGAAAGGCCCUGCUUUUGUGGGGUGCUCGAGUGGCGAACGGGUGAGUAACACGUGAGUAACCUGCCCUUGACUUUGGGAUAACUUCAGGAAACUGGGGCUAAUACCGGAUAGGAGCUCCUGCUACAUGGUGGGGGUUGGAAAGUUUCGGCGGUUGGGGAUGGACUCGCGGCUUAUCAGCUUGUUGGUGGGGUAGUGGCUUACCAAGGCUUUGACGGGUAGCCGGCCUGCGAGGGUGACCGGCCACGUGGGGACUGAGAUACGGCCCAGACUCCUACGGGAGGCAGCAGUGGGGAAUAUUGCACAAUGGGCGGAAGCCUGAUGCAGCAACGCCGCGUGCGGGAUGACGGCCUUCGGGUUGUAAACCGCUUUCGCCUGUGACGAAGCGUGAGUGACGGUAAUGGGUAAAGAAGCACCGGCUAACUACGUG